AUGGGUGGUUGAGAAUCAAGUGGGAGGAAAGAGCUUAGUUAUUGAUGAUUGUGAUACAAAGCAAUCAGUAUUCAGUAUAUGUCUACGGGUGCAAAGGUUCAGUUCUGCAGAUCAAAGGAAAAGUCAACAACAUCACAAUUGACAAAUGCACUAAGAUGGGAGUUGUAUUCGCGGGUGUUGUCGCAGCUUGUGAGGUUGUCAAUUGCAAUGGUGUAGAGGUGCAAUGUUAGGUAUCAAAAUUUAUGGUUCAGAGGUUAAAACACAAUGGUCUACAAAAGUGAAGUUUAAUAAAAU